CGCGAAUUGUUUUCUAAGUGUGUGCAUACUUUACGAUACGCACCCACAUUCAAAUUUUGUACCAUUUUGUACCGUUUUGUGCUGCUUUUUCUGCGCCCGUGGUUUUCUCAUUUCUGUAAGGAUGGCACAUCGUCCUCCCCGAGCAACAAAGCAGAAAGCCCUGGAGGGUUUUCACCUGAUGGAGGAAGAUUCCAGCAACGAGGUGCGCAACCCGGCCCAUAGCCCCAGCGAGUCUGCUCGGUUGCACACGGCACGCAAAUGCGGCACACGGCGGACUCAAUGUAAC
ensembl:lncRNA